rnacentral:lncRNA from 1 species
CUAAUCCUUAUUGUCUCUAACCCCAGAAACUUUAGAGCUCGCCACCCCAGAAACCUCCACCAUCUCCGUCAGUGGCUACACCAUAAACCACUCCAAUCUACCUAAAAAUAACACCCCAGAACCCUCUCCCCCUCCUCUUUCAAAAUCUCAACAUAGUUUCCCUCCAAUUCCUCUCAAUCUCUUUGAAUCUCGAAUCAAAGUUCGAAACCCUAAAAACCCAAAUCGCCCUACCUUUGAUUCUGUGGCAUGCAUGACCACAUGCGUCUGAAUUUUCUAGUUUUAAAAGUCUAAUUUGGCAUAAAGCAGUGUUGGUCGUUUGUUCUUGACAAAGAACAAGCGAUUAACACUGGUUUUGUUAAAUCGAGGAGUCCAAUGUUGGUGUCGAGUUUAGUCGGCAAGCUUUCUUUAUUCUUUUUUUUCUUUUUGUCCACUUUUAUGUUGUUUCAUCUUCUACUCCGUUCUUUUAUUCUCCGCUUCUUGAGUGUUUUUUUUUUCUACUGAAAAGUUGAUGAAAGUUUUAAACCUGGGUUUUUCACUUUGAUUAUUUGGUAUUCGUAUUUAUUCUGUGGGGUGCUCCUGUUUUCUGUUAAUUUUUUGUUAAUUUUGUUUGAUUUGUGUAUCUUGCCUGUUUAGCUUUUACGGGCUCAAAUAUAUCCUUGUACUAUUCAAAAUAGGCCAUAUUUAUUCUCCGUUUGAAUUCUUUAACAAAUAUAUCCCCACCGUUAUACAUUAGGGCCAUAUAUAUCCCUCAGCCGUUAAAACAUAUUUAUCCUCCGUUUGAAUUCUUUAAGAAAUAUGUCCCCACCGUUAUACAUUAGUGCCAUAUAUAUUUCUCAGCUGCUAAAACUUGUUUCUACAUAAUUUUUUAACACGUGGCAGUCAACGAUUGGAUCACAUUACCCACCCAUUCUAUUUUUUAAACCCGCCCGACCCACUGUUUAAACCCGCCUCGACCCCAUUUCUUUAUACACUCCAGCCCAUAAAUAGAAUGGGUGCAAGAAAAUAACAGGAAACCUCCUCCAACAUAGCCAUCAAGUAGUUGAUCUUAUUCUUUUUUGCUUCUGAAGGUACGUGCCACUUCUUCGACACAUCCUGGAAAUCAAUAGUAGUUAAUUACAUAAUAGAGCGGGAAAUUGAAAAUUUCAAACUGUAACUUUGUAGCUUUGACUCGUUUACAAAUUCUUCUCUAAUUUCCACCUCUGCUAAGUUUCACGUCCAGUUUUUUCUUUUCCUCAAAUUCUUCGAUCCAAAUACCCAUCACAAAUUCAAACUUAAACCAUCAAAUACACUACAAAAGAUAAUGAAUAUUGAAAAAAAAAUUGUCAAGGAACUGAAAGGUUAUACUUCAACAACAUGGAAAGCCGAUGCUCUUGAGAAUUCAGCGAUGACCGCGUGAUUUUAAGUCCUCGCUUUUUCUUUAAGAAAUUGUCAUGGAACUGAAAGUUUAUACUUCAACAACAUGGAAAGCCGAUGCUCUUGAGAAUUCAGCGAUGACCGCAUGAUUUUAAGUCCUCGCUUUUUCUUUAAGAGAGUGUUGACCCUAGGUACGACCUCCUAUUUUAAAAGGAUUAACCAAAGCUUUAAGAGAAUCAAAACCCUAAAUUUGAAACAAAUGAAAUUAGAGGGGAAGGAACUUACCGUUUCUAGCCUUAAUCAAGCAAAUCCCAUUCGAACUUCCCGACACAAAUCACUAAUCAGCAAAUAUACUAGGCUUGAAGAAUGCAAUUUCAAAUCUCUUCUCAAAACCUUCUAAAACAAUGGCAGAGAAAAAGCAAUAUAUAUCGACUGGAG